UGUUAAAAUUUUUAUUUAUUUGUACUUUUAAAACUGACAUGGUUAAUAGAAUAACUAGACAGUAACUUUUAGCAUGUCACGUGUACCUCAUGCUAACGUCCAAAAACCAAUUUUUAAUGACAUAAACGGAUAAGAUUUAUAACA
rfam:Gossypium hirsutum cultivar TM-1 unplaced genomic scaffold scaffold3516.1, whole genome shotgun sequence